UUACCAUGCAAGUCGAACGGUGAAGCCCAGCUUGCUGGGUGGAUCAGUGGCGAACGGGUGAGUAACACGUGAGCAACCUGCCCCUGACUCUGGGAUAAGCGCUGGAAACGGCGUCUAAUACUGGAUACGAGUAGCGACCGCAUGGUCAGUUACUGGAAAGAUUUAUUGGUUGGGGAUGGGCUCGCGGCCUAUCAGCUUGUUGGUGAGGUAAUGGCUCACCAAGGCGUCGACGGGUAGCCGGCCUGAGAGGGUGACCGGCCACACUGGGACUGAGACACGGCCCAGACUCCUACGGGAGGCAGCAGUGGGGAAUAUUGCACAAUGGGCGCAAGCCUGAUGCAGCAACGCCGCGUGAGGGAUGACGGCCUUCGGGUUGUAAACCUCUUUUAGCAGGGAAGAAGCGAAAGUGACGGUACCUGCAGAAAAAGCGCCGGCUAACUACGUGCCAGCAGCCGCGGUAAUACGUAGGGCGCAAGCGUUAUCCGGAAUUAUUGGGCGUAAAGAGCUCGUAGGCGGUUUGUCGCGUCUGCUGUGAAAUCCGGAGGCUCAACCUCCGGCCUGCAGUGGGUACGGGCAGACUAGAGUGCGGUAGGGGAGAUUGGAAUUCCUGGUGUAGCGGUGGAAUGCGCAGAUAUCAGGAGGAACACCGAUGGCGAAGGCAGAUCUCUGGGCCGUAACUGACGCUGAGGAGCGAAAGGGUGGGGAGCAAACAGGCUUAGAUACCCUGGUAGUCCACCCCGUAAACGUUGGGAACUAGUUGUGGGGUCCAUUCCACGGAUUCCGUGACGCAGCUAACGCAUUAAGUUCCCCGCCUGGGGAGUACGGCCGCAAGGCUAAAACUCAAAGGAAUUGACGGGGACCCGCACAAGCGGCGGAGCAUGCGGAUUAAUUCGAUGCAACGCGAAGAACCUUACCAAGGCUUGACAUAUACGAGAACGGGCCAGAAAUGGUCAACUCUUUGGACACUCGUAAACAGGUGGUGCAUGGUUGUCGUCAGCUCGUGUCGUGAGAUGUUGGGUUAAGUCCCGCAACGAGCGCAACCCUCGUUCUAUGUUGCCAGCACGUAAUGGUGGGAACUCAUGGGAUACUGCCGGGGUCAACUCGGAGGAAGGUGGGGAUGACGUCAAUCAUCAUG
rnacentral:rRNA from 1 species